rnacentral:rRNA from 1 species
UACGGAGGAUGCGAGCGUUAUCCGGAUUUAUUGGGUUUAAAGGGUGCGUAGGCGGGACCUUAAGUCAGCGGUAAAAUUGCGGUGCUCAACGCCGUCGAGCCGUUGAAACUGGCAGACUUGAGUUGGCGAGAAGUACGCGGAAUGCGCGGUGUAGCGGUGAAAUGCAUAGAUAUCGCGCAGAACUCCGAUUGCGAAGGCAGCCUGCCGGCCCCACACUGACGUUGAGGCACGAAAGCGUGGGGAGCAAACAGG